rnacentral:rRNA from 1 species
GACGAACGCUGGCGGCGGGCUUAACACAUGCAAGUCGAACGGAAAGGCCGCUUUCGGGGGCUACUCGAGUGGCGAACGGGUGAGUAACACCUGAGUAACCUGCCCUUGACUUGGGGAUAACUUCAGAAAACUGGGGCUAAUACCGGAUAGAAGCUCCUGCUGCAUGGGGGGGGUUGGAGAGUGUCAGGGUUGUGGGUGUGACUGGCGGCCAAUCAGGUGGCUGUUGGGGGAGUGGCUGACCAAGGCUGUGGCGGGUAGCCGGCCUGGGAGGGUGACCGGCCACAUUGACACUGGGACACGGCCACGACCCCUACUGCAGGCAGCAGUGGCGAAUAUUGCACUAUGGGUGUAGGCCUGAUGCAGACACGCCCUGUGCGCGAUGACGGCGUUGGUGUUGUAAUCCGAUUUCGCUCAUGACGAAGCUUUGUGUGACGGUAGUCGGUAAAGAAGCCCCGGCUAACUACGUG